ACGUAGGGGGCAAGCGUUAUCCGGAUUUACUGGGUGUAAAGGGAGCGUAGACGGCUGCGCAAGUCUGAAGUGAAAGGCAUGGGCUCAACCUGUGGACUGCUUUGGAAACUGUGCAGCUAGAGUGUCGGAGAGGUAAGUGGAAUUCCUAGUGUAGCGGUGAAAUGCGUAGAUAUUAGGAGGAACACCAGUGGCGAAGGCGGCUUACUGGACGAUGACUGACGUUGAGGCUCGAAAGCGUGGGGAGCAAACAG
rnacentral:rRNA from 1 species